UGAUAAAUUGUUCAUAUUUCAGUGUCUAAUUGAGGGAGAAUUACGAGCUUGACAAACGAGUUUAACUCGGCUGCUCCGAUUCCAACGACAGGGCACCCACCCAGUAGUGCUACAACCCCAACUAGCACUAUUUAUAAAAGGUGGACUCUUUUGUCAGGCUUGUCAUUCUCCUUUGUUGGCAUUGAACGACAACGGCCGGUGACCGGAUCCCCAUGGGACUGAGUCCGACAGCAAUUUGAUCCGCGACUAGCUGGCCUUUGGAGAUGGUAUCCGGGAACUAAGGAAACCCUAAUUAUUUAUCUUAAUCAUUAUACCGCAACGGUGAUAUUACAGGCUUGCAUGGGCAGGAAAAAAAGAAGCUAUUUUUGCAUUCUACCGAGGCCAGUUAAAUGACUGUCUGUGGUAGGGGACACUUGUUAAGUCUUAACUCUUAAUAAUUCCACCAUAUCUAUAAAUUUUUCUCUUACAUAUCUGUUACAGUGGCAUAUGUACACACUUGCAACUGUGUGCUGGCUUCUUUUCCCUGCUAUUUAACAAUUAUCGUUGGACACUUGUUCGUAAAAGUAUUGUAUUCCAGGAUGUUAGAAAACGUGAAAGAGAAUUACACAUAAGCACACAGUUAAUGCAUGACGGUGUAAGAUUUUAAUAUGCAUGGUGAUAUUGGAGUCUUAUAAAAUUUGCUGUUGGGUGGUUUUCAGUACUCGCCUUUCUAUGUACAGAGUUGUUUUAACUAAUUUGGCAAUGAGCCUUAUACAGCAUGAUAGCUCUCUUUCGCUGGAAUUUACACUUGAUCUGUGUUUUGUAGUUCUUGCUCAUCUAAAGCAUUGAAAAUUCUUGAUGAUUGAUAUCUCUUUUCCGUUAGAUACUUGAUAUUCUUCUCCUAGUUCCAUUUUCUAAUAACACUUGCUACUCUAGUUUUCUGCAUAUGUGCUUUCAUUAUCUGCAUACAAUUGGAAGCCCUCCUAUAAUUCAAUCCUAGGCUUACUAUUGCACGUUCUUCAGGGCAGAUGAGGUUUGCACUUCUUGAUCUUUCAUUUUAGACCUUUUCUCAACCUGCCUCAGCUUUUAGAGCUGAUUUAUUUUUCAUAGCCCAGAAAGUUUAAGAUUUUGGAAUAUUUUAAACACAGCCAAUCCUUCGAAACUGGAAAAGAAUUGGAGAUUAUAGAAAGCGUAGUUAAAAGCCCAUACCUGCUCUAGUCCUCUACUCCUACAGCUGAAGUUGAACCCCUCGAAUUGAUGUUGCAAUUUUUUGGAGGUUGAUGACAAAUGGCGGGUAACAUGUGAUUUGUAACUUCUUGCAUUUUCUCUUUCUUUUUCUUCCUUUUGUUGUCUGUGGGUUCAUAUUUCCUUUUGGAGUCUUAAAAGUACUGAAAAAUCUAGCAAUUGGUUAUUUUGUGUUUGUAGUUUCAGUUGUGGAUAAAUGGCCUUGUCAUGUGAUAGCUAAUUGGUCCAUCGAUUUUGCGCUACUAAUUGCGUAUUAGACUUUUGAUAUUGUUGAUAUGUUUUACUAUGGGUUUUUUAGAUGGUUUAUCGUUUACGAAUAUGAUUUUUGUUCUUCGAUACAUUUUUCAGAUUUUUCUGGUGGUUCAUAUAAGGUGGCCAAGCCUCGCAUAGAAUAAAUGCCUCCAUACCCAAUUUAACCUUUUUAAACGCUGUUACACCCAUUUAUUAGUUAUCCAUUUACCUACUAGGGGAGUGUUUGAUAGUUAUUUUUGUGUAAAAAUGGAUUUUAGAAUAGCAAAUUAAUGUGAAAUGUGUGGUUGAAAAAUAAGGAAAAAAUUUUAAUUUGUGUGUAAUAUUAUUUUAAUAAAAAAUGUGUGGUUGAAAAGAAGAGAGAAAAAUGCAUUUUGAAAAAAAAAAAUGGCUACCAAAUGAGCCUUAGAUAAGAUAUGCUUCCAUAACAUUUGCCAUGUAAGGAAGAAUUAAUGUGCAGGGAAUGGUUUUAGAGCUCGUUACGAGUUUCCUUUUAGUAUCUUUGCUAUUUCGGUAACAAGGUUCCUCAAGUAUGCUUCUUUGACAUUCUUGUUUUGUAGGACUCGUUCAUUGACCUUCAUCAGAUGUGAAGAUUGUGUGGGUAAGUUAAAAUGAUUUCUUGUGCCAGUGGAUGGAUUCUUUAUUGAUCAUCGCUUUUUGUGCAAUGGGUUUGUUACCAAUGUUUGGCUUCCAUUUUUUGAAAUGAAAAUGGAUAGAAUAGGGGUUAUUUAUUUUUAUUUUUUUCCUGAAAAAUGAGUGGUAAAAAAAGAAGGAAAAACUUUUGGUUUACGUAUAAUAUUAUUUUAUGGAAGAUUAUGUGAUUGAAAAUAGGAUUGUAAAUGAAUCUGAUAUUAAUCGAAUUUGCUCAAAUUCGAUCUGAUUCGAUAAUCAAAGGAUAUUAGAAUGUUAAAUCAA